rnacentral:rRNA from 1 species
UACGUAGGGUGCGAGCGUUAAUCGGAAUUACUGGGCGUAAAGCGUGCGCAGGCGGUGAUGUAAGACCGAUGUGAAAUCCCCGGGCUUAACCUGGGAACUGCAUUGGUGACUGCAUCGCUCGAGUAUGGCAGAGGGGGGUAGAAUUCCACGUGUAGCAGUGAAAUGCGUAGAGAUGUGGAGGAAUACCGAUGGCGAAGGCAGCCCCCUGGGCUAACACUGACACUCAUGCACGAAAGCGUGGGGAGCAAACAGG